CAAAAAGAAAGUGGCACAACAUUUUUCAAGUGCUGAAAGAAAAGAACUGUCAUUCCAGAAUUCUAUAUCCAAUGAAAAUAUGCUUCAGGAAUGAAGGUUAAAAUAAAAACAUUCUGUGAAUCAGAAUAAAGAAAACUAAGAAUUUUUUGCCAGUGGACAUGCUCAAAAAGAAUUGCUAAGGAAGUUCUUCAGACAGAUGAAAAAUGACACCAGAUGAAAACUUGGAACAUUGAGAAUGGAGGAAAAGCAACAGAAAUGGCUAGAAUUCUCCCAUAAAGACCAUUUGCACAUCAACUAUUUGGCUACGUGAAAAGGAGAUAUGAUUGUAUGUGGCACUGCUGGAGACAACUCUUGAAGUCAACUGGGCACCUG